rnacentral:lncRNA from 1 species
UUUCUAAGGUAAUAAUGGAAAGUUUCACAUAAUUAUUUGAUAGAGCAAGAAAGAAUGAGGAUUAGAAAGAGAUGUGAUGCUUCCCCCAUUUAUCUCCACCAGCCAAUUUUAGUAUAAAAGCAAGUAUCAGAUAAUAUCUACUAUACAGCCACUAUCAUCUUAUGUUGACACCAAGACUACUUCAACAUCAAGACUGCCUACUCUGCUACUAUUUGCCAGCACUAUCACACAAUAUCCUAACAAAGUUCAGCUCCAAUCUCAAGUGGGCUACCAACACCAAACUUCAUCAGCCAAAUUUUAUUGAGGUGUGAGUUUGCUCCAGCUUCAAGACAGUAGGCUACCAACACCAAACUUCAUCAGCCAAAUUUUAUUGAGGUGUGAGUUUGCUCCAGCUUCAAGACAGUAGGCUACCAACACCAAUCUUCAUCAACAAAAUUUAAUUGAAAUGAUUUCAAUACUUUCUCUAUUUCAACUUAUACACAUUCAAGGAGUGAACAGCAUUGAUCUAUGGGAGAAGUUUAUUCUAUACCUUGAAAAAG